CAGGAAGAAGCUUGCUUCUUUGCUGACGAGUGGCGGACGGGUGAGUAAUGCUUAGGGAUCUGCCCAGAGGUGGGGGACAACAGUUGGAAACGACUGCUAAUACCGCAUGAUGCCUACGGGCCAAAGGGGGCUUCGGCUCUCGCCUUUGGAGGAACCUAAGUGAGAUUAGCUAGUUGGUGAGGUAAUGGCUCACCAAGGCGACGAUCUCUAGCUGGUCUGAGAGGAUGAUCAGCCACACUGGAACUGAGACACGGUCCAGACUCCUACGGGAGGCAGCAGUGGGGAAUAUUGCACAAUGGGGGAAACCCUGAUGCAGCCAUGCCGCGUGUGUGAAGAAGGCCUUCGGGUUGUAAAGCACUUUCAGUAGCGAGGAAAAGUUAUUGGUUAAUACCCAAUAGCCUUGACGUUAACUACAGAAGAAGCACCGGCUAACUCCGUGCCAGCAGCCGCGGUAAUACGGAGGGUGCGAGCGUUAAUCGGAAUUACUGGGCGUAAAGCGCAUGCAGGCGGUCUGUUAAGCCAGAUGUGAAAGCCCGGGGCUCAACCCCGGAAUAGCAUUUGGAACUGGCAGACUAGAGUUUUGUAGAGGGGGGUAGAAUUUCAGGUGUAGCGGUGAAAUGCGUAGAGAUCUGAAGGAAUACCAGUGGC
rnacentral:rRNA from 1 species